UACAGAGGGGGCAAGCGUUGUUCGGAAUUACUGGGCGUAAAGGGCGCGUAGGCGGCCUGUUAAGUCGAACGUGAAAUCCCCGGGCUCAACCCGGGAACUGCGUCCGAUACUGGCAGGCUUGAAUCCGGGAGAGGGAUGUGGAAUUCCAGGUGUAGCGGUGAAAUGCGUAGAUAUCGUAAGGAAGACCAGUGGCGAAGGCGGGUCUCUGGACAGUUCCUGACGCUGAGGCACGAAGGUCAGGGGAGCAAACGGG
rnacentral:rRNA from 1 species